rnacentral:rRNA from 1 species
CCACACUGGUAAUGAGACACGGACCAGACUCCUACGGGAGGCAGCAGUGAGGAAUAUUGGUCAAUGGGCGAGAGCCUGAACCAGCCAAGUCGCGUGAAGGAUGACGGCCCUACGGGUUGUAAACUUCUUUUGUCAGGGAGCAAUUGAGUCCACGUGUGGGCUUAGCGAGAGUACCUGAAGAAAAAGCAUCGGCUAACUCCGUGCCAGCAGCCGCGGUAAUACGGAGGAUGCGAGCGUUAUCCGGAUUUAUUGGGUUUAAAGGGUGCGUAGGCGGAAUAUCAAGUCAGCGGUAAAAAUUCGGGGCUCAACCCCGUCGUGCCGUUGAAACUGAUGUUCUUGAGUGGGCGAGAAGUAUGCGGAAUGCGUGGUGUAGCGGUGAAAUGCAUAGAUAUCACGCAGAACUCCGAUUGCGAAGGCAGCAUACCGGCGCCCAACUGACGCUGAAGCACGAAAGCGUGGGUAUCGAACAGGAUUAGAUACCCUGGUAGUCCACGCAGUAAACGAU